rnacentral:rRNA from 1 species
UACCAGCACCCCGAGUGGUCGGGACGUUUAUUGGGCCUAAAGCAUCCGUAGCCGGUUCUACAAGUCUUCCGUUAAAUCCAAACUGCUUAACAGGUGGGCUGCGGAAGAUACUAUAGAGCUAGGAGGCGGGAGAGGCAAGCGGUACUCGAUGGGGUAGGGGUAAAAUCCGUUGAUCCAUUGAAGACCACCAGUGGCGAAGGCGGCUCACUGGCCCGAUACUGACGCUGAGGCACGAAAGCGUGGGGAGCAAACAGG